UACGGAGGGUGCAAGCGUUAUCCGGAUUUAUUGGGUUUAAAGGGUCCGUAGGCGGAUCUGUAAGUCAGUGGUGAAAUCUCACAGCUUAACUGUGAAACUGCCAUUGAUACUGCAGGUCUUGAGUGUUAUUGAAGUAGCUGGAAUAAGUAGUGUAGCGGUGAAAUGCAUAGAUUUUACUUAGAACACCAAUUGCGAAGGCAGGUUACUAAGCAACAACUGACGCUGAUGGACGAAAGCGUGGGGAGCAAAAGGG
rnacentral:rRNA from 1 species